rnacentral:rRNA from 1 species
UACGUGAGGGUGCGAGCGUUGUCCGGAAUACUGGGCGUAAAGCGCGCGCAGGCGGGCUGGUCAGUCUGGGGUGAAACUCGUCACGGCUCAACCGUGAGCAUGGUCCCUGGAUACUGCUAGCCUUGAGGGGCUCAGAGGAGAGUGGAAGUUCCUGGUGUAGCGGUGAAAUGCGCAGAUAGUCAGGAAGAACACCCGUGGCGAAGGCGGCUCUCUGGGACGGUACUGGACGCUGAGACGCGAAAGCGUGGGGAGCGAACAGG